GCCCUGUCACUGCACUUGAUGAGGGCUAGCUGACUAGAUAGCUAGCACAAGAUUUCACUCUCAUCAACAGCUAACAUCAGCUAAGCUAUUUAGCUAGCUAGCCAUCAAACACAAAACAAAAGCAACAUGCCAAACUGAAAAAUCUGCAUUUCCUAAUAACAAAUGGAAAAUGAGCAAUUAUAAGAAAAAUACAAAGUACAAAUAUAAUAAUACAAAUACAAAUAUAAUAAUUAUCUCUCAGAGAAGCUGUGCAUAUGGACUGUGGAAAAUACAUUGAUGGAAGUGUUCUGCCCAUUAAAUGUUAUUUUUCCUGUACAAAAUGCAUGCAGGACCCCCUCAUAGACUCAAUUUGCUUCAAGUGUGUUCAUAACCUAUUAGCCGAUUUAAUAUUUUCUGCUUUAAAGCCAAGUGUACCACGGUGUGCUGCAGGAUCCCCAUGGCCUGCAACUAGUAUAAUGGCCAUACCCUUGUCCGUCUUCCUGGCUCUUAGCAAUUAGGUGUAUGAGUAACACAAGCUCCAUAGGCUACCAGAAAUCAUUGUUUGCCUCAAGGGGCGUAGGCUGAAUGAGGAUGCUUAAUGAGUGACCUGUGAGAAUACAUUUCAACCAAAUCAAAUUAGAUAGCUAAACGAGCGCUGUAACUUAUUCCUUAAUUCAAGGUUUUAUUUGCAUUCUCAGUUCGAUUGACUACAGCAGCCUAGGUUCUAGGAAAUGAUAGUCUGACAUAAGGUGUUCUACCGUGCAAUUAUUUAUUAUAUAUUAAUUAUUUUGUAAGCCUAAAAAGAGCACAUUGUUAUAGUUAACUCCCUCCUUGUAUAGUGCAUGAGCUAGCUAGCCUCCCAUUGAAAUCAGUGGUCAACAAUACUGUACUGUAUACUAUACACAUGCACAAACAUCCAAAACAAGCAGAUCGCCUGCCAGCUUGACAUGCCCCACUGUUCGUCAGUGAGACCCGUAACGUCAUCGAAAGUCAAAUACACUCAUGCCAUUGGAUUAAAUAAGAUGCUUGGAAAGCUAGCCUGUCUUACAUUCCAGAGUCAUUAUUCCAGCCCAGUUUAACGACCACAAUAGGGCAGCAUUUUUGUGGACUCUGUGUCCUUUUGUCACCACUUGUUUGAAUGCGAAAAAAUGCCACAAAUUAACAUUUACCAUUUAUACCAGCAAAUAAUGUUCACGUGAUUACAUUUCUUUAUUAGAAUAAGCAAUUGAUUUAAACACUCAUAUUACAUAGUAAGGUUAACUUAACUUAAAAAAAUAACCGGUUUUGUCAAGUAGUGCAAGACAGUACCAGAAAUGUUGGGACAGUAUGGAAAAUGCCAAUAAAGAAAGUAGGGAUUUGUAAAUUGUAUUUAAACUUUAGUACUAUUGUUUAAAUACAUGCUACAAAUGACUAUUUUUACUUUUUUAUUUGUAUUCCAUUUACCACCCCAUUAAUCACUUUUGUUGACAUUAGAAAAGUUUAAGCUGUGGAAAAUCAACAAAUAGGCUAUAAGUUUGCUCUUAUUGAGUGGUUCUGGUCUUCAGAUGCAGACACAGUCAGCUGAUCCAUGGUUUUUGAUGUUGGAGUUGGCACUGGUGCCAUAAAGUGUUUUAUAUUGUAUAAUGCUUUGAAGCCUUCGGUUUUCCUCCUGCAAAUGUUGGCAGGCUAGAUAGUGGCACUGAAAAUAAGGAUAUAUUUCAGGAGGAACAUUGCACACCCACACAUUGUAAUGUAACUCCAUUUCGAGUUUCAAUGUAAUUUCUCUGCAGGAGCACACAGUACUUAAGACAAUUUCUUUUCUUUAGUGGACUUUACUUGUUCAACUGGUUGAUCUUUGUCUGGGGGGGCUUUGAUAGAGGUUGAUGGGAAACUGUGUGAGGGUGUUUCUUGAUGACUUGAAGAUGUUGAAAAUGAAUGGUUACAUCAUGACUUGAUGACAAGAAGAUGUUGAAAGUGAAGGGUUACAUCAUGACAAGCAUGCUGAAUCCAUGCUUACUAUGGGGAACACUGAGCUGUCUACAACACAAUAAGAAAAGAAAAUAUGUUGGCACUUUGUUAGAUAACUACCUUGUUCCCUCAGCAUGUUAAGUCUUGUUGACUUCCUCCUCUUUUUUUUUUCCUCUUGGUAUACUUUCAUGGGUUGACUUGGCUCCUGUGUAUACAAAUGAAAUGUGAUUACCCAGGGGUGCCCAAACUUUUCGACAGACUACAACUGUAAGUCUAAACGACAUUCUCAUACCUUAUCAAAAUAGAGCCAGACAGUUUUCCUUUUUCUUCUCUUCCCCUUUCCCUGGCACUCUGCUUGCAACAACGGCUCCCUUCAGGUAAUAAGCCAUCUUGCUCACCAGCUCUAGUCUAGUCUCUGAAAAUAGUAUCAAGCAUAUUUGUAACAACAUGUAGUUACCCCUAUGCCUGACAAUUAGCGUCCCAGGCUUGUGCAAGUGUCUAUGCUAGGACUAAUGUUAGGCACUGAUAGAUACAUAUUGUUGGAUAACUAAAUAGAUAUGGGAUAGCUUAGGACCUUCAAUUAAAACCCAGUUGUCAUUAUUCAUUUUAAUAAACAUAAAUGAAUAGAAUGAAAUCAAAAGGUUAACAACCACUCACUGACAAUAUCCAGGACACCCUUUCGGCCCGUUUACUUUAUACAGCUCUCCAAAGGGUCUUCCAAAUCAAUCUCCCCUUCCACCAAAGGCAUCUCGCCAAUUUUGACAGUCCCCUCAUUUGGAAAAUCAAAAAAGGUGAAUUUGUUUGUUGUCACUGACAACCUACCAACAACAGUCUAACAACAAAUGUUCCACCUGACAACAGGGUAUGUAAGUGUUACAUAAAUUUGGACACUAACUGAAAUGGCUUGCCCUUUAUAGAAGCUCAUCCUUAGUUGUCUACACAGCAGUAUGCCUAUGUCACAAAUGUUUCUGUCCCUUUACCCAAAAGCACAAAGUGGUACAGGAAAUGUACCCAUUUCAGCACCACCACAGUGGGACAGCAACCAGACAGUUUGGCUGAAGAGAUGGACCCUACAUGUGAAGCUGAACUCGACUGGAGUGAGGAGCCUGACCUCCCAGUGUGUGUGCACAUAACACCUAAACUAAAUGAGUUGAAAGUACAAGAAUAGCAUACAAAUAUAUAGUUCACUUGCUUUGUCUGGUGCAUGGCUGCACCAUCAAAUUCCAUUAACUCUUAUGAAUCUCAAUCUGAUUAUACAGCCUGACUGCACCUGAAACUGACCUCAUGAAUGAUGAAACAACUUUUGAAGUAUGUAUGACCUAAACCAAGAGUUCAUUUUGCACCAUAACCAUUUGAACCAGGGGUACUGCAGAAAAGCUUUGGGAACCACUAAUGUAGUGAAUUCAAUUAAGUUCAUUUUUGGCGCAAUUGCACUAUCAAGUUACGUCCAUGCAUGUAGCGCCUCUUCAUUGGUGCAAGGAUACUAUUAACACUCAUUUCAAUCGAACUUCACAGCCAGACUCCAACGCACCCAACACUGAAUAUGAUGCACCUGAAAGAGAAUAUGACCAGAUAAAUGAUGAGGCAAGUUUCCAAGCGUGUAUAACUUUAUUAUUACUGUAGCUUGUGCAGUAACAUUACCACUGAGUGAAAAGAGGUGUAUCCGUGACUCCUGCUCUCCUGUGUACUCUCAGGGAGUUUGCGGUCCUGUUACAGAAUUCCAGAUCCUCCUGGAUAUCUCCCAGGUUUGCGGUCCUGUUACACAGUUACAGAAUCCCAGAUCCUCCUGGAUAUCUCCCAGGUUUGCGAGGCCUGCCUGGAGCCAAUAGUUGCCCUGGUCAUAAUCACCUGGGGGUGCUUGCAAGGGAAUAAAAGUCUUACCUGGGAAUGGUGGCACAAUGUCUUGCCCCUCCUCUAAACCCCCUCCCUGAUCACUCGAUCACUCCCUUGAGCAUUCUCAAGAAGGACCCAGUUCCUCACGCUGUGGUCUCCAUUGCAAAUCUGUCCACAUUAACACAUGGAUGGUGAUUCACAAGGUACUUCUGGUCUGCAUCCAGUAUUUUCUGUAGCUCCCCACACAGUGUAGAGUAGACGAUUCUGUACUAUGGACUGGAGGCCAGACGACCCACACUGGCCUUCAAUCCAAGAUGGAGUCCUCCUCAUUCAAUUCAACUUUAUUUCGCCAUGUAUACAGAUACUAGGAAUUUGUUUUGGUAUUCUCCAUGCAGGCUAUAGUAUCACCAAAUUAUCUCCUGCACGAGAUCUCCACGGCCGCUACACAAGCGCCAUCGGACGCCAUUCAACAUAAGAUCUGUUGUUGCUGUUCUCCAACCGUGUAUUUCUUCCACAUGCAAUAGGGCAGUGAUUUCAAUUCCAAUUCCAAUUCCUAGCUCACAGACACCACAGGCAAUAAUUGUGUCAGCCCUAUUGGAGAAGAUUAGAGCAAUUAGGGUAGACUGAGAGCAAUCUUUGAAAUUUGGCCUGGUGGGUUCAGUUAUCAGCUGGGAUAAACUGAGACCACCACCAACCUCCUUGAAAUAAUCAGUUAAGAUUAAAGUCAGCCAUAACAAUCAACUCAACUUUGGAGUACUGAAAGCAGCUCUGCUAUAGCAUAGCAAGUCAGCAAAUGGGGGUCUAUAAAUCCCUACCACAAUUAUUGAGAUAAAUUAACCUUCAGUGCAAGAAAUUCAAAUCAUCUUGGUAUGAUGAUAGUAUUUUAAAUUGUUGCAGAAAAAGACUCUUGACGUGAUCACAUCACUCCUGUUUUAGCUUCUCUACACUGGCUGCCAGUUUGUUUUAGAAUAGAUUUUAAGAUUGUAUUGAUUACUUUUAAGUCUCUUAGUACCAUACACAUCGGUACGUACUUUGAGAUCCUUAGGCAGAGGUCUUCUGUCUGUUCCAUGGUACUGGCUGAAAACUAAAGGAGGCAGAGCAUUUGCAGUUAGGGCCCCGAGGUUCUGGAACGAUCUGCCAGAGAAAAUUAGGUUGGCCGACUCAGUGACUUCCUUUAAGAUUCUUCUGAAAAUUAUAGGAUAGAAAUUUCCUGAUUUUUCAUGCAUUUUAAUUUCCUUCUUUCCUAAUUGUCUUCCUUAAAAACUUAUAAAAUUGGUUUCCUUUUUUACUCUGUAUGGAUGUACCACUGUAUUGGUUUUUAUUUACCUUAUUGUUUUCAUCUGAUUUCUUUUAAAACCUGAUGAUUUUAUGAUUGUCAGUUUUAUUCUGCUGCCACUGUGAAGCACUUUGUAACAUGGAUUUUUAGAAAGUGCUCUAUGAAUAAAGAUCAUUAUUAUUA